rnacentral:rRNA from 1 species
GAUGAACGCUAGCGGGAGGCCUAACACAUGCAAGCCGAGGGAGAAUCUUUUUUCGGAAAGAGGACACCGGCGAACGGGUGCGUAACGCGUAUGUAACUUGCCUUUAUCGGGAGGAUAGCCCAGGGAAACUUGGAUUAAUACUCCAUAACAGAUUGUAUUGCAUAAUACGAUUUUAAAAGAUUUAUCGGAUAGAGAUAGGCAUGCGUAUGAUUAGCUAGUUGGUGCGGUAAAAGCGUACCAAGGCGAUGAUCAUUAGGGGGCCUGAGAGGGUGAUCCCCCACACUGGUACUGAGACACGGACCAGACUCCUACGGGAGGCAGCAGUGAGGAAUAUUGGACAAUGGGUGCAAGCCUGAUCCAGCCAUCCCGCGCGCAGGAAGACGGCCCUAUGGGUUGUAAACUGCUUUUAUAUAGGAAUAAACCUUGUUACGUGUAACAAGCUGAAGGUACUAUAUGAAUAAGCAUCGGCUAACUCCGUGCCAGCAGCCGCGGUAAUACGGAGGAUGCAAGCGUUAUCCGGAUUCAUUGGGUUUAAAGGGUCCGUAGGCGGGCUAAUAAGUCAGUGGUGAAAUCUUACAGCUUAACUGUAAAACUGCCAUUGAUACUGUUAGUCUUGAGUGAAUUUGAAGUUGCCGGAAUAUGUAGUGUAGCGGUGAAAUGCAUAGAUAUUACAUAGAACACCUAUUGCGAAGGCAGGUAACUAAGAUUUAACUGACGCUGAUGGACGAAAGCGUGGGGAGCGAACAGG